AACAUGGCACCAGAGCUAGAAGAAGGGGCUUAUACCUCUUCUCACGUAGGACCUGCUUCCGCUGCAGAGAAAAAAACAGGGAUGAACGCAAGAAAAUUGAUCACCAAACAGAUCAAAUGUGUUAUGCUAGAAGAGGAGAACUUCUUUUGCUGGAAAGCACAAUUUUUCAGCAUUGUUGAAAGGGUAUCACCUUCUAGGUAGAAAUCACGUCGGGAA
rnacentral:lncRNA from 1 species